UGCCCUACGGGGGGCAGCAGUGAGGAAUAUUGGUCAAUGGACGAGAGUCUGAACCAGCCAAGUAGCGUGAAGGAUGACUGCCCUAUGGGUUGUAAACGUCUUUUAUAUGGGAAUAAAGUUUUCCACGUGUGGAAUUUUGUAUGUACCAUAUGAAUAAGGAUCGGCUAACUCCGUGCCAGCAGCCGCGGUAAUACGGAGGAUCCGAGCGUUAUCCGGAUUUAUUGGGUUUAAAGGGAGCGUAGGCGGAUUAUUAAGUCAGUUGUGAAAGUUUGCGGCUCAACCGUAAAAUUGCAGUUGAUACUGGU
rnacentral:rRNA from 1 species